UACGUAGGGGGCUAGCGUUGUCCGGAAUCAUUGGGCGUAAAGCGCGCGUAGGCGGCCCUGUUAGUCCGCUGUAAAAGUCAAAGGCUCAACCUUUGAAUGCCGGUGGAUACUGCAGGGCUAGAGUCCGGAAGAGGCGAGUGGAAUUCCUGGUGUAGCGGUGGAAUGCGCAGAUAUCGGGAAGAACACCCGUGGCGAAGGCGGCUCUCUGGAACGCAACUGACGCUGAGACGCGAAAGCGUGGGGAGCAAACAGG
rnacentral:rRNA from 1 species